rnacentral:tRNA from 1 species
GCGGCUGUAGCUCAGCUGGAUAGAGCAACAGGCUACGAACCUGUAGGCCAGGAGUUCGAAUCUCUUCAGCCGCACCA